UCUCUCUCUCUCGCGGUUUAAUUAAUAAUAUUUUAAAGAUAAUUCUCUUCUCAUCCAACAGUUGACAUGACUUGACCAACUGGCUAACGACACAUAGCGCGAGAUCUCCCCAAGCCACAUCUCCUUAUUAAUACUCAAUUGUAAACCAAAUUGGUAAGCUUUUGCUACUCAAUUAAGUCUUAAACUUUCUCUCUUUUCAUAGAAACUGAUUUAGGCAUUGAAGAUCCAUUGACGAUUGACGAACAAAUUCAUCAAGACUGAAGAUGGCAGAUUAGGCAUCGGAGGUCCACUGACAGUUGACCAAUAAAUUCAUCAAAACUGAAGAUGGCAAAUUUUUGCUACUACAAUAUACAAGUUUAACUGUAUAUUUAAGGACUAAGAAACUACUAAAAGUUUGAUUGUUUGGUAAUUUGAUAGUAGAUCAAAAGCGAUAGCCAUGUUGCGUUAAUCCUCGUAGUUUUUGUUGUUGACUUAAGUCCGUUUUACAUUCGUCUGUUCCAGCUUAUACUUCCUCUGAACUGAUAUGGUAAGUCUAACUUACUAUUUUUUCAUACCAAAUUGCAAAUGGUUUUAGCGGGACAUCACUGCAGUGCAGAAGCAGGCAACUGGAUAUUGCUUCAAUAGUACGCAACAAAUUUUCGCAAGCGAACCAAACACUGCAUUGCUAAUGGGAGAUAUCAUACUCCAAAGUCUUGCAAGUGCUAGCACCAAAAGGAGCAAAUGGGUUAAGAACGUGUCUCCUAUGAAGAAGAAGAGUCUCAUUUGGAAACCUUAGAAUAUUUUGGAUGUGAAUUGCAGCUUCAUUUGAUGCGAUAAUGAGAAAAUGUGAUAAUAAGAAGAUAGAGACUCAUGGCAAAAUGGAUAGAUAAAGACCUACAAAGACUUAGAAAGAGACUUUAAGAAAAGACAUGAAGUACUUAGAACUAACGAAAGACGUGGUGCAAAACCUAGUCCAAUGAUGUUUUAAAAUUCAUAUAGUCGACCCCACGUAGUGGAAUAAGACUUUCUUGUUCUAUUUUAGAUGAAUUUGAUAUCUUUUGGAUGGAUGUUUGAUGCAUUUUAUGGAGCUACGAAAAGGAUUACCUUGCUAUAUUUUAAUAGUUUUUGUGCAUUGUGAUAAGAAGAAAGUAAAUUUGGAGGGAUUUAAUUUGGAUGUAUUUGUGAUUAUAUUCCGUAUUUAGUUUUAACGACUUGGGUAUGUAUAUUAUAGAUAGGUGGAGUUAAAACUUAAAUGUUGUUUAUCUGAGUGGAAUGUCAUUUCUCUUGUUCGCAUGGACUCCACUUUUACACUCUAAUAUAUACCAUGAAAGCCAUGAUUUUCAGUCUGACCCACAUAUUUUAUGAGAUUUAACUUUUACGAUAUAUUGAAGAAGAUAAAUGUUUCUUUCCAACCUUUUUUUUUUGGUCAAGGAAGAGAAUUUAUUUCAAACAAACACAUAGUACACAAACUUACAAUUGAACAAAGGUUAAACAAUACCUAUAAUAACCAAAAAGGGCCUAAAAACCAAAAGACAAAAAAUAGAAACAUAAAAAA
rnacentral:lncRNA from 1 species